GUCAGAUGUUAGGUACGGACUAGGGAGGGUACAGGUAGAGGAAGACAGGUCAGAUGUUAGGUACGGACUAGGGAGGGUACAGGUAGAGGAAGACAGGUCAGAUGUUAGGUACGGACUAGGGAGGGUACGGGUAGAGGAAGACAGGUCAGAUGUUAGGUACGGACUAGGGAGGGUACAGGUAGAGGAAGACAGGUCAGAUGUUAGGUACGGACUAGGGAGGGUACAGGUAGAGGAAGACAGGUCAGAUGUUAGGUUCGGACUAGGGAGGGUACAGGUAGAGGAAGACAGGUCAGAUGUUAGGUACGGACUAGGGAGGGUACAGGUAGAGGAAGACAGAUCAGAUGUACGGACUAGGGAGGGUACGGGUAGAGGAAGACAGGUCAGAUGUUAGGUACGGUCUAGGGAGGGUACAGGUAGAGGAAGACAGGUCAGAUGUUAGGUACGGACUAGGGAGGGUACAGGAAGACAGGUCAGAUGUUAGGUACGGACUAGGGAGGGUACAGGUAGAGGAAGACAGGUCAGAUGUUAGGUACGGA
ensembl:lncRNA